UAGGGAAUCUUCCACAAUGGACGCAAGUCUGAUGGAGCAACGCCGCGUGAGUGAAGAAGGUUUUCGGACCGUAAAGCUCUGUUGUUGGUGAAGAAGGAUAGAGGUAGUAACUGGCCUUUAUUUGACGGUAAUCAACCAGAAAGUCACGGCUAACUACGUGCCAGCAGCCGCGGUAAUACGUAGGUGGCAAGCGUUGUCCGGAUUUAUUGGGCGUAAAAGCGAGCGCAGGCGGAAGAAUAAGUCUGAUGUGAAAGCCCUCGGCUUAACCGAGGAAUUGCAUCGGAAACUGUUUUCUUGAGUGCAGAAGAGGAGAGUAGAACUCCAUGUGUAGCGGUGGAAUGCGUAGAUAUAUGGAAGAAUACCAGUGGCGAAGGCGGCUCUCUGGUCUGCAACUGACGCUGAGGCUCGAAAGCAUGGGUAGCGAACAGGAUUAGAUACCCUGGUAGUCCAUGCCGUAAA
rnacentral:rRNA from 1 species